rnacentral:ncRNA from 21 species
ACGGAUUAGAGCAAUAGCGGUUCACUGCUACUGUCAUAUCUGCCGUGGUGCUCGGGAAAUCGGUGUGAAACCGGUGCGGCCCUCGCCACUGUGAUCGGGAGUGAAGGUUCGUUCUGCGCCUUUCAAGUUUCUAUCUGGGCGCGGAGUCACUGAAACGGCAACGUUUCGGGAAGGCAGAACCCUCGCGGCAAUUCCCGUCAGCCAGGAGACCGGCCACGGCCAGCGUUAUCCGA